ACUCCUACGGGAGGCAGCAGUGGGGAAUAUUGCACAAUGGAGGAAACUCUGAUGCAGCAACGCCGCGUGGAGGAUGACGCAUUUCGGUGUGUAAACUCCUUUUAUAUGGGAAGAUAAUGACGGUACCAUAUGAAUAAGCACCGGCUAACUCCGUGCCAGCAGCCGCGGUAAUACGGAGGGUGCAAGCGUUACUCGGAAUCACUGGGCGUAAAGCGCAUGCAGGCGGUCUAAUAAGUUGGAAGUGAAAGCCUAUGGCUCAACCAUAGAACUGCUUCCAAAACUGUUAGACUAGAGUCUGGGAGGGGAAGAUGGAAUUAGUAGUGUAGGGGUAAAAUCCGUAGAGAUUACUAGGAAUACCGAAAGCGAAGGCGAUCUUCUGGAACAGUACUGACGCUGAGAAGCGAAAGCGUGGGGAGCAAACAGGAUUAGAUACCCUGGUAGUCCACGCAGCAAACGAUGAAUGUUAGUCGUUGGUAUCCUAGAGAUAUCAGUGAUGCAGUUAACACAUUAAACAUUCCGCCUGGGGAGUACGGUCGCAAGAUUAAAACUCAAAGGAAUAGACGGGGACCCGCACAAGUGGUGGAGCAUGUGGUUUAAUUCGAAGAUACGCGAAGAACCUUACCUAGCCUUGACAUAUUUUAGAAUUCACCAGAGAUGGAGGAGUGCCUUCGGGAGCUAAUAUACAGGUGCUGCACGGCUGUCGUCAGCUCGUGUCGUGAGAUGUUGGGUUAAGUCCCGCAACGAGCGCAACCCUCGUCACUAGUUACUAACGAUUCGGUCGAGGACUCUAGUGAGACUGCCUUCGUAAGGAGGAGGAAGGUGAGGACGACGUCAAGUCAUCAUGGCCCUUACGGCUAGGGCAACACACGUGCUACAGUGGUUAGGACAAUGAGAAGCAAUAUUGCGAGGUGGAGCAAAUCUAUAAACCUAAUCUCAGUUUCGGAUUGUAGUCUGCAACUCGACUACAUGAA
rnacentral:rRNA from 1 species